UACGUAGGGUCCGAGCGUUGUCCGGUAUUACUGGGCGUAAAGAGCUCGUAGGUGGUUUGUCGCGUUGUUCGUGAAAACUCACAGCUCAACUGUGGGCGUGCGGGCGAUACGGGCAGACUGGAGUACUGCAGGGGAGACUGGAAUUCCUGGUGUAGCGGUGGAAUGCGCAGAUAUCAGGAGGAACACCGGUGGCGAAGGCGGGUCUCUGGGCAGUAACUGACGCUGAGGAGCGAAAGCGUGGGGAGCGAACAGG
rnacentral:rRNA from 1 species